rnacentral:rRNA from 2 species
CCUACGGGCGGCUGCAGUGGGGAAUAUUGCACAAUGGGCGCAAGCCUGAUGCAGCAACGCCGCGUGAGUGAAGAAGGCCUUCGGGUCGUAAAGCUCUGUCCUGUGGGACGAAACAAAUGACGGUACCACAGGAGGAAGCCCCGGCUAACUACGUGCCAGCAGCCGCGGUAAUACGUAGGGGGCAAGCGUUAUCCGGAAUCACUGGGCGUAAAGGGUGCGUAGGUGGUUCCUCAAGUCAGAAGUGAAAGGCAGUGGCUUAACCACUGUAAGCUUUUGAAACUGAGGAACUUGAGUGCAGGAGAGGUAAGUGGAAUUCCUAGUGUAGCGGUGAAAUGCGUAGAUAUUAGGAGGAACACCAGUGGCGAAGGCGACUUACUGGACUGUAACUGACACUGAGGCACGAAAGCGUGGGGAGCGAACAGGCUUAGAUACCCCGGUAGUC